AAAUAGGAAGGUAUUACGGUCCGCUAUGCUUAUUCCAUCAGCUGGGAAAAUGGGUUCUCGAGUACACUUAAUACCCGAACAAAACGGAAUUUUCGGUAUCGAAGCGUGAACACCGACGCAUGGCGUUCGAGGCAGCGUUCCCCCACUUCUGGCUGCGACUCCGUUGUCGGUCUCGCAGACAAUCAGCGGGCCCGCCGCCGCUCCUACUGCUCUCGGCCAGCUUCACGCACGGUCACCGGGAGAGAGACUAGAUUCAGUAAAUAGAGAACUCCUUUCCUGUAAUAUUCGUCAACUAUUCAGCAGAGGUGUCGGGAUUUCAGCGUCUUCAUCGUGUCCGUGGAAUUACUG